GAGGGUGUAGCUCAGUGGUACAGUGUGUGCUUAGCAUGCACGAGGCCCUGGGUUCAACCCCCAGUGCCUCUC
rnacentral:tRNA from 1 species